rnacentral:rRNA from 1 species
GACGAACGCUGUCGGCGUGCUUAACACAUGCAAGUCGAACGGAAAGGCCCUGCUUUUGUGGGGUGCUCGAGUGGCGAACGGGUGAGUAACACGUGAGUAACCUGCCCUUGACUUUGGGAUAACUUCAGGAAACUGGGGCUAAUACCGGAUAGGAGCUCCUGCUGCAUGGUGGGGGUUGGAAAGUUUCGGCGGUUGGGGAUGGACUCGCGGCUUAUCAGCUUGUUGGUGGGGUAGUGGCUUACCAAGGCUUUGACGGGUAGCCGGCCUGAGAGGGUGACCGGCCACAUUGGGACUGAGAUACGGCCCAGACUCCUACGGGGGGCAGCAGUGGGGAAUAUUGCACAAUGGGCGGAAGCCUGAUGCAGCAACGCCGCGUGCGGGAUGACGGCCUUCGGGUUGUAAACCGCUUUCGCCUGUGACGAAGCGUGAGUGAUGGUAAUGGGUAAAGAAGCACCGGCUAACUACGUG